rnacentral:rRNA from 1 species
UACGGGGGGUGCGAGCGUUGUCCGGAAUCACUGGGCGUAAAGGGCGCGUAGGUGGUUUGAUAAGGGUGUGGUGAAAGUCCGGGGCUCAACUCCGGAUCUGCCGUGCCGACUGUCAAACUCGAGGACUGUAGAGGCAGACGGAAUUCCGGGUGUAGCGGUGGAAUGCGUAGAGAUCCGGAGGAAGACCGGUGGCGAAGGCGGUCUGCUGGGCAGUUUCUGACACUGAGGCGCGAAAGCGUGGGGAGCAAACAGG